UACGGGGGGGGCAAGCGUUGCUCGGAAUGACUGGGCGUAAAGGGCGCGUAGGCGGCUUGCACAGUCAGGCGUGAAAUUCCUGGGCUCAACCUGGGGACUGCGCUUGAGACGUGUGGGCUUGAGUGGGGAAGAGGGUCGUGGAAUUCCCAGUGUAGAGGUGAAAUUCGUAGAUAUUGGGAAGAACACCGGUGGCGAAGGCGGCGACCUGGUCCUUGACUGACGCUGAGGCGCGAAAGCGUGGGGAGCAAACAGG
rnacentral:rRNA from 1 species